rnacentral:lncRNA from 1 species
CUGUGCAGAAGCCUGGGUCCGCUACUGUUGCUCCUGGCGCGUGGGACACUCGUGGACCUACAGGGAGGAGCCCGAGGACGCCGACAGAGAAAUCUGCUCGGAAAACAAAAUCGCGACUACGAAAUACCCGUGCCUGAAGCCCUCGGGCGAGCUCACCACGUGCUUCAGCCCCGGGGUGAGCAUUUUCCUGGCUGGUUUAACCUGCUUCCUUGGAGUGCUAACCCUUUUAACCGUCCCACCAUCCUUCCUUCUGUCCAUUCAGGUGAGUAAUGACAGCCUUGAGGUGUGUUUUCCUCUGCCUUACACCAGUCAUGUUCAGGCUUGUCUCACUUCGCCCCUCACUUAACAGCUGCUCUGAGUGACCACCCUCCUGGCCGUAUCUCUGCCUGGCCCUUUAUUCUUUCCACAGCUGCUUGUCUCUGGAAUUAUCAUU